UACAUUUAAAAAAGGAGUGAUACUUUCAUGGGUCCAAAUGUUUUGUCUUUGCAGUGAUCCGCUCCCCACCACAGUGUAUGAAAACGAGCAGAUGGCUUCGAGGAUCAGAGAUGCCGAUCCCACCGAGGCUCACUACGCAAACUUGGCUGACGCGGCGCCGACAGACGACGACGCCGACGACUAUGAAAAUUCGGAGUUCCUGGCGCAAAAGGCCCACCGGCCGGAGAA